rnacentral:rRNA from 1 species
GGCUAAUACCGCAUAGGAAGUUUGUUCGCAUGAACAAACUUAGAAAGAUGGCUCUGCUAUCACUUAUCGAUGGCCUUGCGGUGCAUUAACUAGUUGGCGAGGUAACGGCUCACCAAGGUGAUGAUGCAUAGCCGACCUGAGAGGGUAAUCGGCCACAUUGGGACUGAGACACGGCCCAAACUCCUACGGGAGGCAGCAGUCG